rnacentral:rRNA from 1 species
UACGUAGGUGGCAAGCGUUGUCCGGAAUUAUUGGGCGCAAAGCGCGCGCAGGCGGUUCCUUAAGUCUGAUGUGAAAGCCCCCGGCUCAACCGGGGAGGGUCAUUGGAAACUGGGGAACUUGAGUACUGAAGAGGAAAGCGGAAUUCCACGUGUAGCGGUGAAAUGCGUAGAGAUGUGGAGGAACACCAGUGGCGAAGGCGGCUUUCUGGUCAGUAACUGACGCUGAGGCGCGAAAGCGUGGGGAGCAAACAGG